rnacentral:lncRNA from 1 species
AAACUCUCUCCCAUUAUGUCCUGCUUUCUUCUCACGAUUUUUCACUCUCACUCGUAUGCUCUUGACACCCUCAACUCUCCUCCCUUUUACUACUACUCAAUCUAUCGAAUUUGGUUACAGUUUGUUAGGCUCUGAUACCACAUGUUAAGCCACGAAAUAUGCAAACUGACAACUUGAUUAGUUGCAGAGAAUCAUUGAUAUAGAUCAGAUCAGGUGUCCUUGAAACUAGCUACAAUCCCAACAGCAUGAUUCCCACGAUCAACAGCUAUAGGACUAAACUGCAAACUAAUAAAAGUUAUAGACUACGAAAGUAAGACUCCAAACAGACUUAACGAACUAAUUCAAACUACGUAGUUUUGGUCUCUCUUAACACACAAGCAAACUAAGUCAAACGACGUAGUUUCAUUCUUGCUUAACACACGGAACAUGACUUGAGGAAGCAGAAGUUGAGGGAGAAC